AUAAAAUCAGUGACCAAAAGUAGUAACUGCCAUGGAACAUGACAGAGAGCCGGGGAUGGUGGAAGCCGGUAUGGAAAGUGACAGCGAAUGGAUUUGGGAGAUGCGAAAUGAACGGAGGCAAGAGCCUUUUAGUAGUGGAGCCGUGUUCUCACGUUACAGAGACAAGAGUUAUAUCUUGGCAAACAACAGGAAGUUUGAUGCGGGAAGAUAUGAAUCAGGGUGGCACCACGUAAUACCGACGUCCCUAGC
rnacentral:ncRNA from 1 species